CCUACGGGAGGCAGCAGUAGGGAAUCUUCCACAAUGGACGAAAGUCUGAUGGAGCAACGCCGCGUGAGUGAAGAAGGGUUUCGGCUCGUAAAGCUCUGUUGGUAGUGAAGAAAGUUAGAGGUAGUAACUGGCCAUUAUUUGACGGUAAUUACUUAGAAAGUCACGGCUAACUACGUGCCAGCAGCUGCGGUAAUACGUAGGUGGCAAGCGUUGUCCGGAUUUAUUGGGCGUAAAGCGAGUGCAGGCGGGUCAAUAAGUCUGAUGUGAAAGGCUAGGGCUCAACCGGAGAAUUGCAUCAGAAACUGAUGAGCUGGAGUGCAGGAGAGGAGAGUGGAACUCCAAGUGUAGCGGUGGAAUGCGUAGAUAUAUGGAAGAACACCAGUGGCGAAGGCGGCUCUCUGGUCUGCAACUGACGCUGAGGCUCGAAAGCAUGGGUAGCGAACAGGAUUAGAUACCCGAGUAGUC
rnacentral:rRNA from 1 species